CUGAAGGAAGGUGCUUGACAUUGCUGUAGCAGAGCUCGGGCUCAUCCUGGGCUCUUGCCUUUGUUGGUGUUUUUCUUUAGUUUAAUAAAUGAGUUGAACUUUGAUUUUCACCAAAACAUUAAAGCCUUGUUUACAACAAACGCACAUUGAGCAGAACACUACGAAGAACAUGCUAAUUCUAAAAUCCUAGACUUUCUCAACACCAUCAAAGCAAAGAACAAUUCACAAGAAGUACCUGAUAGACCUAACAGUGAUAUUCAAGAUGUUCAAGAACAAAGAUUCUUCGCAUCUGCACCUCUUCAAAACACAACAGCUGAGAAAAAGAAGAAAAUCAGUCAAGUCUCUCUUGCUGUGUUCUGGACUUUCCUCAUGUUACUUCUAAUCAGAAAAAGAUUUCUGUGCACAAUUAAUCUCCUGAAUUUGGUACCUGAAGAGCCAGCUUGAUGAAAAAGAAACUUCGACUCAAUCUCAGCAAAAACACAUAAAGUAAAAACUGGUAUGAUUACUUUUUGAGUUCUGCAUUACAAAUAGAAAAAAAAUUUAAACUCUAAUUUCUAAGUAAGGAAAGA
rnacentral:lncRNA from 1 species